AAAAACAAGAUGAUCAGGAAAGUACGAUUGCUAGCAAAGUGCAGAGAGUUACGGGUGGUGAGACGUAGCGUGCGCUAGUACUCAGAAAAUGGCCUGUGAUUGGGUGUUGUGAAUGACAAGUUCAUAAGCGACACACGGGUGGUUACCGUUAACAAACACGCGUAUCGACAUAGCAUCAUUUCGCUCCCUGUCCGCACGUUGCGAGGCUUUUCAGGUGACUGAAUAAGCGAAUUUAGAAUGGUACCACGGGCUUAAACCGUUUCUAUA
rnacentral:ncRNA from 1 species